AUGUAUGCUAUAAAAAGUAAUGAUAACCAUGAAACUUGUCAUCAUGAUUUUAAUGUUCAAUUUUAUUAUGUCAAUCAAGUAUCUCAUGAUAGUUAUUUUGUUGAGUUUUCUCCCACUACUAUUCAUGAGAAUAAAUUUGCUUAUGUGGAGAGUAAUAAAAUUUCUAUGCUUGUAGAUCAUGAAAAGAAUUACUUAUGUGAUAUUUAUAUUGUUGAAUUCAUUCAUGAUGCUAUUGAAAAUUAUUAUGAGAGAGGAACGUAUGCUUUUACAUAUCUCAAUAAUAUCAAGUUUACUCUCUAUGUGUUGGAAGUUGUGAAGUUAUGCUUGUUUUGCCUUCCUAUGCUAGUUGAUUUUUGUUCCCAUGAAUAG
rnacentral:rRNA from 1 species